rnacentral:lncRNA from 1 species
GACCUGCAGUUGGACAUUGUCAUGAAGAAGAAUUGGGCUGUAUCUGUUGACCAAUGCCAGCUGCAGACAUUGCAGUUUUUGGUGCAUCUAAUUGAUUUGUUGAGCAUACUUCUCAGGUGUAAUGGUUUCACCAGGAUUCAGAAAGCUGUAUUGGUUCAGACGGGCAGCAGACUAACAAGCAGUGACCACGACCUUUUAUUUUUUGGUGCAAGUUUGGCUUUGGGAAGUGCUUUGGAGCAUCUUCUGGCUAUAAUCACUGAGCUGGUCAUCACUGGCUGUCAUAUAAAAUGUCACAAUCUGAUCAAGAAAAGGUUUGUUGUUGUU